CGGCGCACGGGUGCGUAACGCGUAUGCAACCUACCUUAUACAAAGGGAUAGCCCAUGGAAACGUGGAUUAAUACCUUAUAGUACUAUAAAGCUACCUGGCUUAAUAGUUAAAACUUCGGUGGUAUAAGAUGGGCAUGCGUAGGAUUAGCUGGAUGGUGGGGUAACGGCCCACCAUGGCGACGAUCCUUAGGGGUUCUGAGAGGAUUAUCCCCCACACUGGUACUGAGACACGGACCAGACUCC
rnacentral:rRNA from 1 species